rnacentral:lncRNA from 1 species
CAGAGGUAGGAUGCCACAUGAGGAGAAAGUGAAAAGAACCAAGGCUUCAUGAAUAUUUCAGGAUUAUGGACAAUUACUGAUUUGAAUAUUAUAAAUCAGAUUAUCUUUUCCUCUUUUUCAGUCUCUUCUCUCCCUCGCUCCCUUUUUUCAAACAGUGUUGCAUGGCCAAAAAUAACCUCUACUGCGUUGUCAAAGGCUCCCUGCUUUAGUCUUGAGGAUCUCAUGUAACAACACAUGGAUUUCAACUCCUGAAGAGGUUGCCUGCUGUGAGUGAUGUACCUUGGGAAAGCUAACCGUACCGUCCAACCACAGCUCCUGUCUACCUGGAUGUGAUCUUGUUUCCCCUCCCAAAUGAAGGCGCUGCUUCCACGACUAGAGCCAUCCAGAACCACGGGAGAUUUGAAUGGCAUUUGUCUAUGACCUUCAGGCAGGUCAUGACUGUGAAUGAGAAAUCUAAUAAAGUAAUAAUAAGAUCACAUGGCGGCCUGUCGUGCACCAGUGACCUGCGUGCUUCAGGUAGUGACGGGGACAAGGCGGUGGAGGGGACGUGGGUUUUUUUUGGGGGGAAAAGUCUGGGCUUGGCAAUUUUAACAGGAGCUGACAGCAUUUUAUCAUCUCCAAAUCUUAUUAAAAUCUGUUCGUAUCAGGAAUAAUAUGAUGCAUUCUUUUUUUUUUUUACAUUUAUUUGUUGUUUAGACUAGGGAAUACAUAGAUACGGCCAUUUUUGUGUUUUCAUACUUUCAUAAAUGUUUUGAGAUUAUGUAUAGUUGGCAUUUGCCAAAGCAAUAUUGUAAUGAAAGCAAUAUAAAUGGCUGUGCGUUUGGACAACAACAGACACUACAGUCAAUAAAGACAAAUAAAAGUGUGACCCGGCCAGGUUCAUUUGCUCGCCAUACCAGUGGACUGUACCCAGCAGAUACAGCAACCUCUGGACCUUACGGAAAGACCUUCUUGGUUCUGACGUUCGGCUACUGUCCUGUGUCCACAACCACCUGCGGUCACUUUGUCCAAUGUGACAGCGCUAUGGAGCCAUCUCUAAGACCGUUACGUUAGUAUUCUUAGCUUGGCCAGCAACACGUACAAAGGGGAUGGUGCUAACAGUGAAGAGCAUGCAGCGUUAAAUACAUCACACCAGGUAGCUAGCAACCAGAGAUAAGUAAUAAGCUGUUAGGCAUUAUUAUGAGUUCUCAUAAUGCCAGCUGGUUGUUGCUGCCACAGCGCUUACUGUAAUG